rnacentral:rRNA from 1 species
UACCAUGCAGUCGAGGGGUAUAGUUCUUCGGAACUAGAGACCGGCGCACGGGUGCGUAACGCGUAUGCAAUCUACCUUUUACAGAGGGAUAGCCCAGAGAAAUUUGGAUUAAUACCUCAUAGUAUAAUGACUCGGCAUCGAGAUAUUAUUAAAGUCACAACGGUAAAAGAUGAGCAUGCGUCCCAUUAGCUAGUUGGUAAGGUAACGGCUUACCAAGGCUACGAUGGGUAGGGGUCCUGAGAGGGAGAUCCCCCACACUGGUACUGAGACACGGACCAGACUCCUACGGGAGGCAGCAGUGAGGAAUAUUGGACAAUGGGCGCAAGCCUGAUCCAGCCAUGCCGCGUGCAGGAUGACGGUCCUAUGGAUUGUAAACUGCUUUUAUACGAGAAGAAACACUACUUCGUGAAGUAGCUUGACGGUAUCGUAAGAAUAAGGAUCGGCUAACUCCGUGCCAGCAGCCGCGGUAAUACGGAGGAUCCAAGCGUUAUCCGGAAUCAUUGGGUUUAAAGGGUCCGUAGGCGGUUUAAUAAGUCAGUGGUGAAAGCCCAUCGCUCAACGGUGGAACGGCCAUUGAUACUGUUAAACUUGAAUUAUUAGGAAGUAACUAGAAUAUGUAGUGUAGCGGUGAAAUGCUUAGAGAUUACAUGGAAUACCAAUUGCGAAGGCAGGUUACUACUAAUGGAUUGACGCUGAUGGACGAAAGCGUGGGUAGCGAACAGGAUUAGAUACCCUGGUAGUCCACGCCGUAAACGAUGGAUACUAGCUGUUGGGAGCAAUCUCAGUGGCUAAGCGAAAGUGAUAAGUAUCCCACCUGGGGAGUACGUUCGCAAGAAUGAAACUCAAAGGAAUUGACGGGGGCCCGCACAAGCGGUGGAGCAUGUGGUUUAAUUCGAUGAUACGCGAGGAACCUUACCAAGGCUUAAAUGUAGAUUGACCGGUUUGGAAACAGAUCUUUCGCAAGACAAUUUACAAGGUGCUGCAUGGUUGUCGUCAGCUC